rnacentral:rRNA from 1 species
AGUGAACGCUGGCGGCGUGCCUAAUACAUGCAAGUCGAACGAUGAAGUCCUAGCUUGCUAGGAUGGAUUAGUGGCGCACGGGUGAGUAAUAUAUAGUUAAUCUGCCCUACACAGAGGAACAACAGUUGGAAACGACUGCUAAUACCUCAUACUCCUAUUUGACAUAAGUUAAAUAGGGAAAGUCUUUUCGGUGUAGGAUGAGACUAUAUCGUAUCAGCUAGUUGGUAAGGUAAUGGCUUACCAAGGCUAUGACGCGUAACUGGUCUGAGAGGAUGAUCAGUCACAUUGGAACUGAGACACGGUCCAAACUCCUACGGGAGGCAGCAGUAAGGAAUAUUGCGCAAUGGGGGAAACCCGGACGCAGCAACGCCGCGUGGAGGAUGACACUUUUCGGAGCGUAAACUCCUUUUAUCAGGAAAGAAUAAUGACGGUACCUGAUGAAUAAGCACCGGCUAACUCCGUG